rnacentral:misc_RNA from 1 species
GCUGGAUCCCCUCCUUUCUAAGGAUGAACCUUCAGAGACUUCGGUUUCUAUCGGUUCUUCUUCAGAACAAAGACUACCAAGCGGAAUGCCGCCGUCUUCGUUUCUCUUUCCUGAACGUCAUGGUACUGGCGAAAGAUCGGGCCUGUAGCUUAGCUGGUUAGAGCGCACGCCUGAUAAGCGUGAGGUCGGUAGUUCAAGUCUACCCAGGCCCACCACCUGUUUGCCGCACGGCCCGCACAGAGCGAUCCUUCGAAGGGCGCCUGGCAGGGUAGAGCGGUUUGAAACAUUCGGGGCCGUAGCUCAGCUGGGAGAGCACCUGCUUUGCAAGCAGGGGGUCGUCGGUUCGAUCCCGUCCGGCUCCACCAUUCAGCCUGCCACAAGGUUGACUGUGUGGCCGCGAGGCCCAGGCUCGUGAUCCGUGCACGUUCGCAUUCCGGCAUCUGGCCGGGAUGAAACCAUUCGCCCGCCCGGAUUUCGGGACGGGUGUGUUGUUUGACAUUGUGAAGAGGAAGAGUUGUCGAUGUUGCGUGAAGUGCGGCCGGCCUUUGGGACGGACCUGCUUCUUUGCGUGAUAUCUGACAUCUCCGAAAUGAUCGCUGGUUUAAUCAAGUGAACCAUUGUCGAUCGCUCCGGCCGUCUCGUCUCAGAGACGCCGUGGGCAUUGGUAAUGGGAACGAUCAAGUGCCUUAAGGGCAUUCGGUGGAUGCCUUGGCGCACACAGGCGAUGAAGGACGUGGUACGCUGCGAAAAGCCACGGGGAGCUGCGAGCAAGCUUUGAUCCGUGGAUAUCCGAAUGGGGAAACCCGGAAGC